AUUGGAUUCCGCGAGCAGGGCCACGGUGUGCGAGUAACGGUUGGGCCUGGGCGCUCCGCGGUGCCGGCCACUUCCCGGAGCUGCGGAGAGCCUUCGAGGGGCUGAGGAGAAGAGCGCGGGCGAGGGAGGGUUUCAGGAGGCUUCGGCCAAGCUCAGGGCGCCAAGGAGAAAGGACGGGAGGCACAGAGGAACCAGGUACUCCAGUUGCUUUCCGCCACUGAACUGUUCCACAAACUUGCAUGUCCCUGAGUGAGUUGGAUUUUUCAGGAUCUAGUUUAAGGCACUAAGAAGGAUAAGACGUCAGUA